CUUUACACCUCUGGAUGCAUGGACUACUAAUAUUAAGGGCUUUAUUAGGGAUUUUAUUGAUGAUUUGACCAGUAAACUUUCAUAUCCUCAUCAUAUGUCUUAAUAUCUGAUGAAAUAUAAAAACAAGUGAUGGUAUUAAAUGAAGCGAACAUAGGAGUGAAUUUUAAAUAGUCUCAAUACUUUGGUUAAGGAUUUCUUUUUUGUCAUGUUUGCAUUAACCUCUUACAUGAAAAACUGGCAAUUCAUUAAGAAAUAUUCCAGACUAAACAUGUUUAAACUCAGGUCUACUUAAUUAUCCAUACAUGAUUUUUGGAAAAAAAUCAUGUUAAAAUGUAUCAAAAAUGAUACAUCAGACUUUCAAGGAACAUUUAUUUGUUCAUCUGUCAAUCAUCAUUGUAUUGUAUUGCAUUACAUGUUCUGAAAGAUCGUAAAGCUAAGCAUUUACAUAUCAUCUUUACUGGGAACUAUAGAGAAAACUGGUGUUUACAGUAUAUGUGUUGUGUAAGUCUGUAUAUUGUUCUAAAGUUCUCAAUUAAUUUCUCUAGUUGAAAUACUUUUGAAUUUCCGAGUUUUUCCAAUAUCAUUUCCCUUCCUUUAGUCUUUUGUGAACUGAUCCCUUUAACUAAAGCCAAUUCUGUGAUGACAUCAUCGCAUGGGAAGUGACAUCAUUUUGGAGGGAAAGCAACAUCACCGGCAUUAACGCUGUUGAUAGAGCUUAACUCAUCCUGAAGCCGGAACAUUCCCGUAGCAGCAGAAGUGCUGGAAUGCCACAUGGUUUUAAUGCCCCACCCAGCGCUGUAAGGAUGACAUGCAGUGCCCCGACCCCCCGCCUCCGGAGCUUGAAUGUCUCAGUCUUCCUUCUUUGCAACUGUAAAGAGCAUCCAGCAUGAUGAAUUCAAAUCCAGAAGAUAGAAAGUCAUACGGGUUUGGUUUGGAACAACUUUGUGGAAAAGGCUGCUGCUGUGGAAACAGUCCCUGCACAGAGGAAGUGAUCUCACUGCACCUGUGAGGACGAGGAUGAACACACACACACUUCCCAUGCAGCUGUGUGCCGUUGGAUUUUAACAGGAAGUAAUGGAGACAUCAGUGACAGUUCACAGUUACCCCUGGCUGUCAAACAAGGACCAAAAACUCCAUGAAAGAGCCAUAAAAAUAGUUCAUGGAGUCUGACAGGACGUGGUCACUAUGAAGUGUUGUUGUAUGGAAAAGUGGAACAUGUACAUCUGUAAGAGCUGUCAUAACAUCACACCGCACACACAGUGCUGGAGGCUCAUGGAGGGAAGAUUUUCCACUACACUUCACUUCCAGACCCUAGAUGGACGCGGAGAGAAAGAUAGUGGCCUUCAUACGUUCCUCCAUUGAUUUAUUUUCAUUUUUACGCACGCUGCACGUCACCACAGAAGUUUACAAAGACUUGUGGCUGUAUGGGAAAGAUGUCUACACUGUUUCAGAUACGUUUGGAAUGAUGCAAAUAUCUCUGGCAUGAUUUGCAAAGUUUUAAAGAUGAUGCAGGGCUACACGAUAUUGAAAGAAAAAAAAAAAAGAAAAAAAAACCUGACAUUGCAAUGUUUUUUUUAUCUGUAAUAUCUAUUGCAAUAUGAAAAAAUACAGGAAUUUUUAGCAGAUGACUUGAAUAACUUUGGAAAGAAUUAAUUAUUCUAGAAAAAGUGGGGUGAUUUUUUUAGAGAGUGCAUCUACAUAGAAAAUAACAAAUGUAAAAAUUGACACAAUUAUACUUAUGUUUAACCAAGGUUCAACCUCUUUUUUAUUUUUUUA